rnacentral:rRNA from 1 species
GUGGGGAAUAUUGGACAAUGGGGGCAACCCUGAUCCAGCCAUGCCGCGUGUGUGAAGAAGGCUUUCGGGUUGUAAAGCACUUUAAGUGGGGAGGAAGGCUAUCUGGCUAAUACCCAGGUAGAUUGACGUUACCCACAGAAUAAGCACCGGCUAACUCCGUGCCAGCAGCCGCGGUAAUACGGAGGGUGCAAGCGUUAAUCGGAAUUACUGGGCGUAAAGCGCGCGUAGGCGGCUUGGUCAGUUGGAUGUGAAAGCCCUGGGCUCAACCUGGGAACUGCAUUCAAUACUGCCAGGCUCGAGUACGAGAGAGGGGGGUAGAAUUCCACGUGUAGCGGUGAAAUGCGUAGAUAUGUGGAGGAAUACCGGUGGCGAAGGCGGCCCCCUGGCUCGAUACUGACGCUGAGGUGCGAAAGCGUGGGGAGCAAACAGG